rnacentral:rRNA from 1 species
AUUGAACGCUGGCGGCAGGCCUAACACAUGCAAGUCGAACGGUAACAGGAAACAGCUUGCUGUUUCGCUGACGAGUGGCGGACGGGUGAGUAAUGUCUGGGAAACUGCCUGAUGGAGGGGGAUAACUACUGGAAACGGUAGCUAAUACCGCAUAACGUCGCAAGACCAAAGAGGGGGACCUUCGGGCCUCUUGCCAUCGGAUGUGCCCAGAUGGGAUUAGCUUGUUGGUGGGGUAACGGCUCACCAAGGCGACGAUCCCUAGCUGGUCUGAGGGGAUGACCAGCCACACUGGAACUGGGACACGGUCCAGACUCCUACGGGAGGCAGCAGUGGGGAAUAUUGCACAAUGGGCGCAAGCCUGAUGCAGCCAUGCCGCGUGUAUGAAGAAGGCCUUCGGGUUGUAAAGUACUUUCAGCGGGGAGGAAGGGAGUAAAGUUAAUACCUUUACUCAUUGACGUUACCCGCAGAAGAAGCACCGGCUAACUCCGUGCCAGCAGCAGCCGCCG